UGGCUCAGUUGGUAGAGCAUGGUGUGUGCAAUGCCAGGGUUGUGGGUUCAAUUCCCAC
rfam:Salmo salar isolate Sally breed double haploid chromosome ssa09, whole genome shotgun sequence.